AUAAAAUAGAAAUGAUUUGAAUUCAACCGAAACUUUGCUUUUUAUAUAACAAUAGAGUCUAUCUCUCGAAAUCAAUGUUGUUUGGUUUAGUUUAGGUGGUGGUGGGGUGGGGUGUGAGGUUAGGAAGUGGUGUGUUUGUGGGUUUUGUUUGUGAGGGAUAAGGCAAGGGAUGGAUGGAAUAGUAGAUAAACUAAAAAUAUGAUAGAUAUUAGUAUAUAACUUAAAAUCAAAUAAAUUAAGUUAAUUCACGCAAACAUAAUAUAAUCAAUGUAUUUAAUACACUGUUGCAAACAAUAUCAAAACGAAACCCAUAUUUAGGAGUUCAGUCCAGCAUUUAAAACUUCAAUAACCAACACAUUAUAUAUACCGAACCUAUUCCCCGAUCCAGAAGAGGACGAAAGGGUGAUCACCGUUGCAGACGAAGAAGAAACCGAUAGAAUUGUGACGAUUAGUGAAGAGAAAAGAAAGAAAAAGAAGAGAAAGUGUGUCUCAUAAGAGUCAAUGAAUUAAUUUUUUUCAAAAUUCUUGUUUUUUAUUUUACAAAUAAAACACUUUUUAAAAUUCAA